CGGUAAUUCCAGCUCCAAUAGCGUAUACUAAAGUUGUUGCAGUUAAAAAGCCCGUAGUUGGAUUUCUGCGGGGACGGAGCGGCCGGUCGCAAUUUGCGACUCGAGCUAGCGCUUUCCCCGCAUCCUGCCGCGAACCGUGCUACCAUUAGUUUGGUGGCGCUGGGGAUCGGCUCGAUUACUUUGAGAAAAAUAGAGUGUUCAAAGCAGGCCACACGCCUUGAAUAAGUUAGCAUGGAAUAAUGACUAAGGACUUUGGUUCUUUUCGUUGGUGUUCGGGACUGAAGUAAUGAUUGAUAGGGACAGUUGGGGCGGUCCGUAUUCCAAAGCGAGAGGUGAAAUUCUUAGACCUUCGGAAGACGAACAGCUGCGAAAGCGUUCCGCAAGGAUGUUCCCUUUGAUCAAGAACGAAAGUUGGGGGAUCGAAGACGAUCAGAUACCGUCGUAGUCUCAACUAUAAACUAUACCAGCUAGGGAUCGGCCAACGUUUAAUUUAUCGACUUGGUCGGCACCUUAUGAGAAAUCAAAGCAUCUGGGUUCCGGGGGGAGUAUGGUCGCAAGGCUGAAACUUAAAGGAAUUGACGGAAGGGCACCACCAGCCGUGGAGCCUGUGGCUUAAUUUGACUCAACACGGGAAAACUUACCAGGUCCAGACAUAGGAAGGAUUGACAGAUUGAUAGCUCUUUCUUGAUUCUGUGGGUGGUGGUGCAUGGCCGUUUUUAGUCGGUGGAUGUGAUCUGUCUGCUUAAUUGCGUUAACGGACGAGACCCCAGCCUGCUAAAUAGCGCGGCCGAGCUUUGCUCGGUGCGAGCUUCUUAGAGGGACCAUGAUGCGCGAUAGCACAAGGAAGUUUGGGGCAACAACAGGUCUGUGAUGCCCUUAGAUGUUCUGGGCCGCACACGGGCUACACUGGCGCCUGCAACGAGCAUAUCAGCUGGCCCGAGAGGGUCUUGGCUAAUCUUUGGAACCGGCGCCGUGCUUGGGAUUGACCAUUGCAAUUGUUGGUCAUGCAACGAGGAAUGCCUUGUAAACGCGAGUCAUCAGCUCGCGUUGAAUACGUCCCUGCCCUUUGUACACACCGCCCGUCGCUCCUACCGAUGAAUGUUCCGAUGAAAUUUUCGGAGAGCACCAGAGAACGGGGCUCCGCCUUGCAGAUCUGGAGGCUCAAAGUCACUUAAAUCUGAACAUUUCGAGGAAGGAGAAGUCGUAACAAGGUAGCCG
rnacentral:rRNA from 1 species